CAGUCUGCGUGGAGCCGACCUUGAAAUACCACCCUUUAAUGUUUGAUGUUCUAACGUGGAUCCGUAAUCCGGGUUGCGGACAGUGUCUGGUGGGUAGUUUGACUGGGGCGGUCUCCUCCUAAAGAGUAACGGAGGAGCACGAAGGUUGGCUAAUCCUGGUCGGACAUCAGGAGGUUAGUGCAAUGGCAUAAGCCAGCUUGACUGCGAGCGUGACGGCGCGAGCAGGUGCGAAAGCAGGUCAUAGUGAUCCGGUGGUUCUGAAUGGAAGGGCCAUCGCUCAACGGAUAAAAGGUACUCCGGGGAUAACAGGCUGAUACCGCCCAAGAGUUCAUAUCGACGGCGGUGUUUGGCACCUCGAUGUCGGCUCAUCACAUCCUGGGGCUGAAGUAGGUCCCAAGGGUAUGGCUGUUCGCCAUUUAAAGUGGUACGCGAGCUGGGUUUAGAACGUCGUGAGACAGUUCGGUCCCUAUCUGCCGUGGGCGCUGGAGAACUGAGGGGGGCUGCUCCUAGUACGAGAGGACCGGAGUGGACGCAUCACUGGUGUUCGGGUUGUCAUGCCAAUGGCACUGCCCGGUAGCUAAAUGCGGAAGAGAUAAGUGCUGAAAGCAUCUAAGCACGAAACUUGCCCCGAGAUGAGUUCUCCCUGAGACUUAGAGUCUCCUGAAGGAACGUUGAAGACGACGACGUUGAUAGGCCGGGUGUGUAAGCGCAGCGAUGCGUUGAGCUAACCGGUACUAAUGAACCGUGAGGCUUAACCUUACAACGCCGAAG
rnacentral:rRNA from 1 species